rnacentral:rRNA from 1 species
UACGGAGGAUGCGAGCGUUAUCCGGAUUUAUUGGGUUUAAAGGGUGCGUAGGUUGUUUUUUAAGUCAGCGGUGAAAGUUUGUGGCUCAACCAUAAAAUUGCCGUUGAAACUGGAAGACUUGAGUGAAGUAGAGGCAGGCGGAAUUCCAUGUGUAGCGGUGAAAUGCGUAGAGAUAUGGAGGAACACCAGUGGCGAAGGCGGCUUCCUGGUCUGCAACUGACACUGAGGCGCGAAAGCGUGGGGAGCAAACAGG